UUCAGGAGCGUAGUCCAGAUUGAACACAAAAUACAUCAUAAAUACACAACAAGCUGCUCUUUCAAAAUUUGGGAAAGAAUAAUGGAACUCCGAAUCAACCCCAAGAAAGAAUUUCUUGGCCUUGAAGAUGCAGCCAUCCUUUCCUGCCAUAGAAAAGAAAGAGGAAAAGGAGUCUGGUCUGGAAUGUCAUCCUUCGCCCUCCACCUCACACAGCAAUAAGAAAACUUUCCUCUUGGCUGCUCAUACUGCUUUGUCAAGAAAUCUUGUGGCUGCAGGUGCCUAUUUCUGUCUGGCCUCUUCUGAUUAUCAAAGCAAUACUUCAGUACAUGUAGCUUAUUGAGGGAUUAUUCAUACCAUUCUCUGGACUUCGAACGAUACCCAUCUUGCAAUGUCUGCUCUACAGGUGUCUGAUGGAUAACAUCAAGUUGAAGUAUUGGGUACUUUUUAUGCUGCUUUGGAUUUAUCAUCUAUCCUGUUGAUUUCUUAUUCAAUAUUUCUUCGAUUUAUACUUGUUUGGACUAUCAUUCACGAGGCUGGCUUCCAACUCAUUCCGAAGUCCACUCUGAUGGCAAGUUCUUUCAUGGUUUGAAAACAAAGUAAACAUCGUGUCGCUUAUUAGUAUAUUUUAAUUUUCUUUCUUUUCCAGGUUUUGGUUCUGUGAAUGAUUGCGUCAAAUUGGAGCUUUGGGACUCUGUUCCACUUUGAAUUCAUUCUGCUUAAAUCUUUUUGAAUAUUUUAACCUGUGGACAUUAGUGAGCAAGCCAUUUUUGUGGUUCACGUUACUCUCCUCUGCUCUGAUUGUUCAGAUUACCGGUAUCAAUCUGUAUUUUGAUGACCCAAUCAGCUGAAUGAAAAAGUUAACCGGUUAACAUCUGCAAAUCAUGGGUGUGGAUACUCAAACAUGGAGGUCAAGAAUUGGCUCAUACAGUGCUGGCUUCAAGCUCCGAUGUUCAACGGCUA